rnacentral:lncRNA from 1 species
AUAUCAAAUUAACAUAUUUGAUAUAUGACAACCAAAGAAUUUCUGUACGAAUAAAUCCGACCGUCCCUAAAGCAAGUGACAAAAGACUUGGUAAUUUGGUACUCAAGACCCAAGUUCGAAUCCUAGUUGAUUCACAUUUCCAGCUAAGUUUAUUUCUAAAUGAAAUAAACGAAGCUGGUAGCAUGUUACCUAUCUCUAUCAAAAAAAAUAAUAAAAUAAAAUAAAUAUGAUUUAUUUUAA